GACGAACGCUGGCGGCGUGCUUAACACAUGCAAGUCGAACGGAAAGGCCCUGCUUUUGUGGGGUGCUCGAGUGGCGAACGGGUGAGUAACACGUGAGUAACCUGCCCUUGACUUUGGGAUAACUUCAGGAAACUGGGGCUAAUACCGGAUAGGAGCUCCUGCUGCAUGGUGGGGGUUGGAAAGUUUCGGCGGUUGGGGAUGGACUCGCGGCUUAUCAGCUUGUUGGUGGGGUAGUGGCUUACCAAGGCUUUGACGGGUAGCCGGCCUGAGAGGGUGACCGGCCACAUUGGGACUGAGAUACGGCCCAGACUCCUACGGGAGGCAGCAGUGGGGAAUAUUGCACAAUGCGCGGAAGCCUGAUGCAGCAACGCCGCGUGCGGGAUGACGGCUUUCGGGUUGUAAACAGCUUUCGCCUGUGACGAAGCGUGAGUGACGGUAAUGGGUAAAGAAGCACCGGCUAACUACGU
rnacentral:rRNA from 1 species